AGGACGAACGCUGGCGGCGUGCUUAACACAUGCAAGUCGAGCGGAAAGGCCCUUCGGGGUACUCGAGCGGCGAACGGGUGAGUAACACGUGAGUAACCUGCCCCUAGCUCUGGGAUAGCUCCGGGAAACCGGGAUUAAUACCAGAUACGACCACUUUAGACAUCUGUCGUGGUGGAAAGGAUUCCGGCUAGGGAUGGGCUCGCGGCCUAUCAGCUUGUUGGUGGGGUAACGGCCUACCAAGGCGACGACGGGUAGCCGGCCUGAGAGGGCGACCGGCCACACUGGGACUGAGACACGGCCCAGACUCCUACGGGAGGCAGCAGUGGGGAAUCUUGCGCAAUGGGCGAAAGCCUGACGCAGCGACGCCGCGUGGGGGAUGAAGGCCUUCGGGUUGUAAACCCCUUUCAGCAGGGACGAAGCGAAAGUGACGGUACCUGCAGAAGAAGCGCCGGCUAACUACGUGCCAGCAGCCGC
rnacentral:rRNA from 1 species